rfam:Myotis lucifugus cont2.5202, whole genome shotgun sequence.
GGAAUCAUAUCAUGGUAGUUAAGAAUUUGGUCUCUGGAGCCAUAUCUGGGUUCAAAUCCCAGUGUUCCCA